GAUGAACGCUGGCGGCGUGCCUAAUACAUGCAAGUCGAGCGAACAGACGAGGAGCUUGCUCCUCUGACGUUAGCGGCGGACGGGUGAGUAACACGUGGAUAACCUACCUAUAAGACUGGGAUAACUGCGGGAAACCGGGGCUAAUACCGGAUAAUAUAUUGAACCGCAUGGUUCAAUAGUGAAAGACGCUUUUGCUGUCACUGAUAGAUGGAUCCGCGCGGCAUUAGCUAGUUGGUAAGGUAACGGCUUACCAAGGCAACGAUCCGUAUCCGACCUGGGAGGGUGGUAGGCCACACGGGAACUGGGCCGGGGACACGACUCCUACGGGAGGCAGCAGUAGGGAAUCGUACGCAGUGGGCGAAAGCCUGACGCAGCAACGCCGAGUGAGUGAUAAAGGUCUUCGGAUAGUAAAAAUCUGUUACUAGGGAAGAACAAAUGUGUAAGUAAAUAUGCACGUAUUGACGGUACCUAAACAGAAAGCCACGGCUAACUACGUG
rnacentral:rRNA from 1 species